GACGUAGGGUCCAAGCGUUGUCCGGAUUUACUGGGCGUAAAGAGUGUGUAGGCGGCUCGUUAAGUGUAGAGUGAAAUCUCUGGGCUCACCCCAGAAACUGCUCUGCAUACUGGCGAGCUAGAGGGUCGCAGAGGUCUAUGGAAUUCCUGGUGUAGCGGUGAAAUGCGUUGAUAUCAGGAGGAACACCCAUGGCGAAGGCAGUAGACUGGGCGGCAUCUGACGCUGAGAUGCGAAAGCGUGGGUAGCAAACAGG
rnacentral:rRNA from 1 species